CAAGAAGUCAGUUAUAAUCCCAAAUAUGUGGCUGUCUACUAGAAGAGUAGGUGGCACUCCUCUGACCAGCAGGCCAAGAAUGGGCUGUGCUGGACAACUAAAAGUGGUGUCUUCUAGAAAGGAAAGGCAUUCAGGUAGUGGUAAUGAAGGAGAAAGAAAAGGAGAAAAAGAAGGAAGAGGCAGAGGAAAUAAUAACAUUUAUUGAGCACCUGCUAUGAGGUAGAUGCUGUUGAAAUUGACCCAGUUGUCCUAUAGAGCUGAUGUUUAUGGUUUCCUUGAAUAAACAGAAACUGAUCCCAGUCUUAAACUUGAGAAAGUUAUAUUUGUCUUAUCUGAGUUCCCUUCUCAGGAAACCAACCAUCAGGCCUCCUAGACAGUAGCAAGGAGCUGCAACUCACCAGAUCACUGCAUUUGGACAAUAAGAUUUCAGACCCCUCGCCCCCUCAUGAUUGCCUAACCAACCACCUGCUUCUGUUGAUCAACUCCUCUUCCUUAUCCCUCCCUAAUUCAUAUUUUCCCACACAUGGUUACAUUUUUUCCCUGCUAUACAGACCACCUAGUUUUAGUCAGUCAGGAAGAUGGACGUGGGACUGAUCUCCCACCUCCUUGGCUGUAGCACCCAAUUAAAGCCUUCUUCCUUGGAAAUACCCAUUGUCUCAGGGAUUGGCUUUGUGUGGGGUGAGCAGCAGAACUAGACUGAAUUCCUGGUGUUUUGUUAACACUGUAUUUGCAUUACAGUGAUUGUCUCUACAUACAGAUGAGAUACAUGAGACACUGAGAAAUGGAUACCACUGAGGUCAUGGCCAGGAGGUGGCAGUGCAAAGAUUCCUACCCAAGCUUCCUCAUCUGUGAACAGAACAGGAAGGCCUCGGUAAAUAGGUACAUGUUGACAAGCAACAACCUACUCAAAACUCAUCUUUUUGUAUUAAUGCAUCAUGUGACUCCCUCGUUUGGACUUCUGCAGGAACAUGUCAGAUCAGUCAAGUUGCAUUUGCAGAAAACGGAAACCACCCUGGGAAAGGAUAAGUGGUUCUAAUAUAGAGAACUAAGUGCUGAAAAAAAUGGGCUACAGGAAUAUUCUCUAGUCUGUGUCUUCAGGAAUUACUUCUGGAACUGCACCUUAACACUGGCUGACCAAGGACAAACUGGCUACUAUAAAAGGAAAGUGGGUGGUGAGGACCAACCACAGGAAGUGGUAACUGCAAGUGCACUCUGUCAUCACCGUGAUGCAAGGAUCAGGAAGCCCUCUAGUGAUAACUGCCCAUGCACAUAUAAGAAGGGAGGAAGGGACACUGCUCAGAAGACGCCAGCAUCUCCACAAGACCAUUCUUGCCAGCAACAACUUCCAAAAGUAUAGAAAACUGCAUUGUAAUCAGAUUCCAUUUUCCAAAUCUUGAAAGAGGGCAUCUAAUUAGUAGACCAAGAUUCACAGAAUUCAAGGAAACAUAGUUUGCAGCUUCCUUCUGUACCAGAAAGCACAGAGAAAUAGAAUGAGUAGUGCUUACAGGGACAGCUCAUGGGUUGCUUUCUAAUUGGAAAUUUACUAAUCUUUACAGGUGAAUAUUUUUUAAAGAUCCCUCAUUUUAAUUUGCAUGAUUCCUCUGGAGCCAUCACUAUACUUUUGGCCAAAAUUAUUUAUCUGAUUCAGUUGUCCAGAGGGUUCACUACAAGUACAUUUUCACACAAGGAUUCUAGCCUGAAUUUAUUUAACUGACAUUUCAAACUAUGUACUUCAUGAUAUUCCACCAACAUAUUUCAAAGCUAUUGUUAGGUAUAACAUUUUACCUGUUAUUUCAUGGGAAAGGUACACACACCCCAUAUAUCUUUUCUCUUCAUUAUCACCUUAAUUUUAUUUAAGAAAUUUUUAAUCUACAUGGUUUGAAUUAUCUCCUUUGUUAAGACAAGGUAACUCAAUUACAAGAAACAGAAAGUUCCCCAUAUGAUACUGGGCAGAUAUAGGUUAUUAAAACUGGUACUAGCAGGAAAGGGAGUGUGAGUACUUUGCAUAUAAUCACGUACAAUUUGGAGAAAGUGUUCUUAAAGCCCUUGGUUCAGUGGGGACCUGGGAAAAAAUAGUGGACUCUUGACUGUCAGUUCAGUAGCAUAAUGAGUCUAAGCACAUUCUGAGUGCUAGUUCUUAAAAAGAAAUAAAAAGCAAGAAAACUUUGCUUCAGGUGAUCCUAAAAUGUAGCAAAGGAACUCUGCAGCACUUCUGGGAAAAUUGCUGAUUGGCAUGAAAAAGAAUUAAGUGCUUUUCUCAUACCUGCAUGCAAUUUUAACUGUUCUAUGAAGCUUAAAUGCUGUUCAAAAUGCCUCGAAGAGAAUCAGGGAAGUUUUGUGCAAGCAAGAAAAGAUUCUAUGAAGCUGAAGAGAAAGCUGCUAUUUUGCAUUGCCCUAGUGUUUGUUUUAAAAUCUAUAAAUUUGGGGAAAAAUAAGUAGAAAGCAUCAAUAAGUAGAAUAAAUCAAUAGUCUAUAAUUUCGAUUGCAUUUUACAAUGGAAUCAAUACUUCUGCUUUCAGUAAAUAGAAAACUCCUGAUCAUAACCCUUUCUUUGGAGUGUUCUGUAAACUAUGCAAUGCUUAGUUAGCAUGCAUUUGUUUUUCUCUACAAAAGCCUGAUGACAAUUAUGUGUUUUAUGCCCUCUCAAAAAUUAAGCAAAAAUUAAAUAUCUACCCAAAAUAUUUUAUUUUAGAAUUGUUUAAUCUUUACAUCUCAGUAAGUGUUGACUAUAUCUAUGCAUUAAAUUGUCUUAAGAACAAUAAUAUUUCUGCCUAUUUCAAAUACUAUACAAUUGAGCCUGCCACAAGAACUGUUAUUGGCCAGAAAGAAAAUAAGAUUCACGAUAAAUACAUGAAUAAAGGCAGCAUCAUAAUUUCUAUUCCAUUAUAGACAGACUGAGUCAGUGACAAGAGGAGCUAAAGUACAAAAUGUGGUCAGCUGGCCCAGCUAGCUUAAAACCUAGUUGUUUUUCUUUGCUUGAAUGGUCAAGAUCUCUUAUGACAAAUUUUGAAUUACAAGAGAAUGUUCAGUGUUACCAGUCUUAUUUGUUAUUUAUUAAGUUCUUUGAAUAGAUUUUUUUAAAAGUUGACUGGUGUGAGUCUCAAAGAAACCUGAGGGAUAGUUUAGGGUACAUGUAGGAAGGUAUUGAAAAGAUUUUUACUGAAUGAAGGAUAGAUUGGGAUGUUGGAAUGAGGAAGCAGAAGUACAAAUUCCAGGGAGGAUUACAUUCUAGUAAAAUGUCAGUUUCCAAAGGUCAGUGCCAUCCAGUCUUUCCAUGAGCCAUUUUCUGUGCAAUAAGCAUGACUCCUGGGCAUGAUAGGAUAGAGUUUUAUAAGAUUUCCUUUCUCUCAUGCAUCAUAUUUAAAGUUUCUUUUCUAAAAGGGAAGAAAGGUGCGUAUCUGUGCCACAAGGAGUGGCUGACUCCAGCACAGUAACCUCAAGGGUAGCACCUUCAAUGUUGAUGAGGUUGGACUUAGCUGCUGGUUCUGGAAAGACAAAAGUGGACUAGAGGCUGUUGAUAAGUUGGCUACUCCUCCCUUGUUUUUAGUUUCAUUUCAGGUCAAGAAGUAGCCAUUGGUCACCACGUCUGUAACAUGCACUGUGCUGUGUGUUGGGCGUACAAAGAAGGAGAAUCUGCAGUCCUCUUCCUAAAGGAGUGCAUAGUGAUUUCAGUCCCAGGCGGUAAAGGCAGAGAAGUUUGCUCAGGGCUAUAGGGAAGGUCAGAGACAAUCCUCUGGCUCACCUGAGAGGUUCAGAAUAAGCUUUGAAGAGGAGAUGGUGCUGAGCUGAAUUUUCCACAAUGAGUUAACCACAUGAAAAAGCUGACAAAGGUCCAGGUGUAGUGGCUCAUGCCUGUAACCCCAGCACUUUGGGAAACCGAGGUGGGUGGAUCACAUGAGGGCAGGAGUUCAAAAUCAACCUGGCCAACAUGGUGAAACCCCAUCUCUACUAAAAAUACAAAAAAAUUAGCCAGGUAUGGUGGUGUGUGCCUGUAGUCCCAGCUGCUUGGGAGGCUGAGGCAUGAGAAUCGCUUGAACCUGAGAGGCAGUGGCUGCAGUGUGCUGAGAUCACACCACUGCACUCCAGCUUGGGUGACAGAGUAAGGCUCUGUCAAAAAAAAAAAAAAUGCUGACAAAGGCAAUCAGUAAAAUUAGUAAGAAAUAGCAUCAAUAGAAAACAGGUUUUACAAGCAACUUGGUAUAACUAAAUUUAAAAAUGUAAGGUGAGAAAUGUAGGUGACAAAGGCCAAGUCUUUGGUAGCAAGCUAUUUACAGUAUUUUAUCUACAAAUUGUUCCAACAUGUCACGUUUGCUACUUUAUUGAAAUGUUUGAUUGCAUAACAUGGAGAAUGUGCAGUGUGAGAUGAUGCCAUAUUUUCACUCUCUAAGACCUCGGAAGACUAAGCAGCUUUAAUCACCUAGAGUUUCAGUCAUUUCAGUGAAUAUUCAUAGAAAUAGAGGUGACCAACCAGCAGCGAGCUCAAGUGGCUGCAUCUACAGAGUGGGUUAGGAAUGUGGUGAGGUGUUUGGCAGUGGAGCGGUAGGCAGUGUGGGCAAUGCUGUCUGAAAGGUUAUCUCUCUAGUCUCCAUGGGGAUACAUGAAAAACUAAAAUAUAGAUAAUAACAUUCAUUCAUUCAUUUAUUUAUUCCUUUUUUAGAGACGGGGUCUUGCUAUGUUGCCCAGAAUGGAAUGCAGUGUCUCUUCACCGGCACCAUCCUGGCAUGCUAUAGCCUCAAACUCCUGGGCUCAAGCAUCAUCCUGCCUCAGCCUCCCAAUUAGCUGGGACUACAGGUGUGCAUCACUGUGCAGAGCUAAUAAUGUCCUUUCUGUAUGAAUUAUCGAGACUCAAGAAAGCACUUUGAUAGGGGAAGUGAAUACACUGGGGACAAUUAGUGGGUGGAUGUGUCUGAAGUGAGAGUAAGGCUCUCUUCAGCUGCAGCAUGAAAAUAAGGUGACCAGUUGAGGUCCUGGUUUUCCAGCUGAGCUCUCAAUCUCGUCUCACAAGACUGAUAAAAACGAUAUCUUUAGUUUUCCAGGACUGGCUAGAAACAAUGCAGGGAUAUUAUCAACAUCUCGUUAUUUUGUUCUCAUAAUUAUUUGAUUAAUGAUAAUGACUCAGCUGCUUUGUAAUACUAUGUAUGUCUUUUAUUAGCCUUAUAACUUCCCUUAACAGUAUAGGGACCUUGAUUUCUUAGUUUUGCCAAGAGAGCAAUAAACUCACAGUCAAGUUACUUUUUUAGAAUGUGUAUAGUUCCCAGGUGAAGGGAAUUUCAGUUCACUUAGAUAUCCUUUAAUUUUCACAUUCAUUCCAGCCUCAUUUCUACUCUGCAUAUGUCUCCAGUAUAUUUUUGCUCAUGACACAGAAAUAUCAGUUCCAUUCUUUGCUGGAAUUAACAAACAGCAAAAUAUCUCACCUGCUGGACAGAAUGCAUUGAUCUGCUAUUUUCUAUCUGUCCUAGAACCUCUUGUAGCACCAUUGUUUAACACAUUCUUGGAUUCAUAUUUAGAGCAUCAGGCUAAUUCAUGUUUGCUGAUUUGCAUAUGAAGGCUAGAUGUUAAAGUAGAAUUUAAAAUAUUUGGUUAUAUCUACUGUUUUUACCCUCUCUAAUUUAGUAGAACGUUUCUGGAUGUCAUAUUGUGUGGUUUAGUUAACUAUUAUGCACCAAUUAUACUAAUGUUUAAAUAAUAGUUUAACAUAUUUUUAACAAUGUUUAACUUAUUAUUUGUAGUAUAUAACCAGGAGAAAGUCUUCAGUUAUACAGUAAUUUAUCUUUCUUUCAUAAAGCUAAAAAGAUGUUAAUUUGCAUGAUUUUAGCUGAGUUUUCAGUGUGGACUUUGCUUCUGAAUUGUGUCCAAGGCUCUGAGUCGGUUUUAAGACCUUACAUCUGCAUGGUGCUUUGCCGUUUAAGAAGGAAUUCCACAUUAAUCUUCAGCUCUGAUUAUUCAAGUUCAUCCCGGUUCCUGUUACAGUCACUGCUUGAAUAAAUGAAUGAACCAAAACCAGAAUUGACUUUGGUUUUCCUAACAUUGUGAGUUUGUUGGAACAGAUAUCAUUAUUAUGGAAUAAUGUGAUUUUGUAAUAUUAUAUAAUAUAAUUAUUGUAUUUUUCAGAUAAAACAGCUGCUAAAAUUUAUUUGUACAGCUGACCUUGGAAUAACACAGGUCUUAACUGCAUGGAUCUAUGUAUGCAUGGAUUUUUUUUUCAAUAAAAUUACACUAACUGUGCCUGCCUCUCCCGCUUCCCCUUCCACCUCCUUCAUCCUUUCUUCCUCUGUCACCUCUGAGAUAACAAGGCCAACCCCUCCCCUUUCUCUUUCUCUUCAUUUGAAGACAAGGAAGUUGAAGACUUUUAUGAGGAUCUGCUUUCACUUAAUGAAUAGUAAAUAUAUUUUCUCUUCCUUUUGAUUUUCUUAAUGACGUUUUCUUUUUUCUAGCUUACUUGAUGGUAAGAUAAAGUCUAUAAUACAUAUAACAUACAAGAUCUAUGUUAAUCGACUGUUUUUGUUAUUCCCAAAGCUUCUGGUCAACAGUAAGCUAUUAGUAGUUAAGUUUUGGGGGAGUCAAAAAGUUACACAUGGAUUUUCUACUGUGCGGGGUUCGGCACCCCUAAUUCUUGCAUUGUUCAAGAAUCAGUUGUAUUACACUUUCUAGUUACAAUGCAUUUAACAUCUUGUGCUAUUUAAAACAACCCUGUCAGGCAGGAGGAGAAAAAUGAUUAUCUCUGUCUAGCAGAUAAGAAAAGUGAAAUUCAAAGGUCAAUGACCAUCUCCAAAUCACAGUGCAACAGCAUUGCUAAGACCUGAAUUCAGUCUGUUUCAUCAUAGUUCGCUGCUCUUUUAAAAAUUCCACCGUGCCUCUUAGGGCAUAUUAAUCACCAUGUGUGGGAGUGGGUGGGGGCUGUCAGAGGGGCAGCAUCUGGAGUUUUACCUGGUCAGGACAGAAGUCCUCCUCCCUGCUGGAAUGAUGAGCCUCUGUGCUUUGUUCCUUCUCUGCAGUGUGGCCAAAGUGAUGGGCUUUUACAAAAGGGCACCAUGGGGCAUUUUCGGGGUAGCUUGGGAUGGUGAUUGGGAGUAGCUCACAUGACACAUGUUAGGAUGUUGCCAAACUCAUUUUGGCAAGGCUAUUUGAUAGUAAAAGGAUAUAACGCUAGCAGCCUCUGUUGUCCAACACCAGGGAGAUAAUUCUUCUGUUCUUAUCCAGCAUGGUGCCAAGCUCUACGGGAACAAAAUGGAAGAAGGAGGAGGCAGAAAACGAAGCCCUCAGGUCCCUUAGGUUCAGGAAUGCACAUAAUUAAUGCCUUCCUUGACCCUUAGGAAAGCCAGAGCGCUAAGCAUUGGGAAUAUUUUACAUUAAC
rnacentral:lncRNA from 1 species